GAUGAACGCUAGCGGCAGGCCUAACACAUGCAAGUCGAGGGGUAUAAGUAGCUUGCUACUUAGAGACCGGCGCACGGGUGAGUAACGCGUAUGCAACCUACCCCGUUCUGGGGAAUAGCCCGAAGAAAUUCGGAUUAAUACCCCAUGGUAACUUCGGAUCGCAUGAUUUGAAGUUUAAAGGUUACGGAACGGGAUGGGCAUGCGUCCCAUUAGCUAGAUGGUAAGGUAACGGCUUACCAUGGCAACGAUGGGUAGGGGGUCUGAGAGGAUGGUCCCCCACACUGGUACUGAGACACGGACCAG
rnacentral:rRNA from 1 species